rnacentral:rRNA from 1 species
UAGUCCACGCCGUAAACGAUGAAUGCUAGUCGUCAGGGGGGCAUGCCCUUUGGUGACGCAGCUAACGCAUUAAGCAUUCCGCCUGGGGAGUACGAUCGCAAGAUUAAAACUCAAAGGAAUUGACGGGGGCCCGCACAAGCAGUGGAGCAUGUGGUUUAAUUCGAAGCAACGCGCAGAACCUUACCACCACUUGACAUUACCAUCGCGAUUUCCGGAGACGGAUUUCUUCAGUUCGGCUGGAUGGAUAACAGGUGCUGCAUGGCUGUCGUCAGCUCGCGUCGUGAGAUGUUGGGUUAAGUCCCGCAACGAGCGCAACCCUCGCCUUUAGUUGCCAGCAGUUCGGCUGGGCACUCUAGAGGAACCGCCGGUGACAAACCGGAGGAAGGUAAGGAUGACGUCAAGUCAGCAUGCCCCUUACGCUCUGGGCUACACACGUGCUACAAUGGUCGUGACAAAGAGUUGCUAGUCUGCGAAGGCAAGCCAAUCUCA